rnacentral:tRNA from 2 species
UCCUCGUUAGCUCAAUCGGCAGAGCGGGCGGCUGUUAACCGCUAGGUUCGAAGUUCGAGUCUUCGACGAGGAGCCA